rnacentral:misc_RNA from 1 species
GCAUUUGAAUCCAUAUCAUGAGGUUUGAUGAAAUUUUUAGGCUGGUUGUCACCUACAGCUACGCUCCUCCUUUAUUCGGGCUUGGGACAGGCUGAGCACAAACAUUAUUAAAUCUAAGCUCAAGCAAAUGAUAGUCUAUAAUAAGCCAACCUAGAGAUCAAUCUCUAACCAACCAAAAGAAAAACCAAUAGCAAAAAGACAAUGCAAAAGAUAUAAUAAAGGAAAAAAAAUUAUCUACAUUAUUCUUAGCUAAAGAAACAAUGACAACAUUGUCAUUAUUGGAACAUAAAAAACAAGAAGAAUUGCAAGGCACUGUGAAGUUCAGUUCAUAACAACACUUGAUCAAAACACUUCUAACCUAUCUCUUGUCCUGUUUUAUUGAAUCUCCAAAUUAAAAGUUUUUACCAUUUCUCGAUUUGGAACAAAACAAGACAAACAGAAUAUGUAAGCUCACACUUACAUGAGUCACAUAAUUGCGACAAAAAACGGCAAUUCUAUAUGUGGGAUUGAAUCUUAUUGAAUCUGUACAGUCAACUAUUUUCUCAAAUUUCUCAAGUACCCAAAAAAACUAAAUAAAGACAUAAAGGGCAAAAAAAAAAGAAGAAAAGAAAAAGAGAGUAAAGAAUUGUCUUCUAAAAAGUUCAAGGAACCUAAGAUACUGUUUACCCACAAACCUAACUACGUCUUUUUACUAGAUGAACGAGUCCAAAGAAGCAACGAAAACCACACAAGCUAAGCAGCCAUGGUUAUAUGUGCCAGGCAAUGUUUUUAGCUAGCAUGAACUGCCAAGAUAAGCACUUCAGUAAAAUCUUUAUCCAGCGAGUACAGAAUGGCUAAGAAAUAAUCUGUGCAGAACUACUAUCUCUAAACUUUUACACUAGAUUAUAUUACCGUCUAUUGGAGGAUUCGAAAAUUGGGCUCAAACCUUAGGCAUUAGAAUCGCAUAAGUAGGCAGCCUCAGAUAAUUAAGCCAUUGGAACAACAGACUAUCUUUACAUGGUUAUAAUGAUUUAUAUUGCUCGAUCAAACGUGAGGCAUGAAGACGUGAUGUGGGGACCACAGUGCAUCCCAAAUUUUGCAGAAACCCAAUCUGUUUAGAUGUUGGCGCGGAUGUACUCAUCGAAUUCUCAAUCCUUAAUUUCUGGAAGUACUCCUGCUUCUCCCGCAUCAUAUGGGCACGUUCAUUGGCAGGAAUUUGUUCCCAUCUCAGCACAUAUUCUGCAUACUGGAAUGCUUCGUCACUGCUCAAGCAAGAUUUCAAUGCACGCAAAACGUCCUUGUGCUUGCUUUUCUUGAUUCUUAGACGUUCAUCAAUAACAAAACCAACCUUGUCAAGUAACCUCUUAGGGUUUUGAAAUGCUUGCUUCUUGGCCCAUUGGUGGAACAAGUGAGAAACAACUAAUCUGUCCUCCACAGCGAAUCUGUAUACAAGUGAGAGGAACCAGUUAAACUAUGUUUGGGAGAGGGAGGAAAAUGAAGGGAGAGGGAAAAUGAGAGGAAAAUGAAGGGAAAAUGGAAUAUGGGGCCUACAUUAUAAGAAACAUAUUUGUGGACUCCAAUUUUCCCUUUUCCCCAUUUUUCUCCCUCUCCCAAACAGAACCUUAAAGGUUAUUUUCUGUGCUACUAGCAGCACAUGACAAAUUGAAAUGACCAUCACAAUUUGACGGUAAACCUUUUUAAGAGAAUAUUUCCACUGCAUGCAUCUACCGCCUCUGUUGUUUCCUUUGAGGCAUUAUUGAUUUGAAUGUUGAGGAAAUCAUUAGGCUCCACAUCAACUUCAGAAGGUUUCUUUUCUCCGGGUAGAAUACUGGUAAUGUUGACACUGUGUUUUGGAAUAUCCUGGGGUUUUGUUUGUAAAUCACGUAAACACACUUCAGCCUGAAUCUCUCGAAGAUGAUCUGGAAUUUCCUUGAGAAAACGUGAUGGUUGAAGCAUCUGCCGAUUUGAAUCCAUCGUGACAUACAGAAUGAAUAGUUUCUUUCUAGCACGAGUCAUUGCCACAUAUAACAGACGUCUUUCCUCUUCAAUUGAGGUCCCAUUUUCCUUUGUAAUGCCAUGGAAUUCAUGCAAUAAAGGAAUUUCAGAUUCAUUUGCCUUUACUAUGAAAACAAUAUCCCACUCUAAACCUUUAGACUGAUGAAUGGUAGUCAAGGUAACUGAAUUUUCAUUAUCAUGUCUCCGGGAAUGAAAAUUUUCCUUCUCCCGCUCUGUUAUGUAGUCAAUAAAAGCUUUGAGUAAACCAAGACAACCUUUCUCUUCUUCUUUCAUGUCUCCAGCUUCUCCUUUUAGGGUACAUUGCCUUGAUAAAAAAUCAGAGACAUCAUCCAACAAGUACUGAAGGACAGAUCUAAGGUCAUUGUCUUCAUUCAACAAUUUACCACCAUCAACAUCAACCACUGCCCGUUGCUCAAGAAGGUAUUUCUGAGGUACCAUAUUUGCCACUGAAGUUAUGACUGUUGAAAUUGACUGUUCCCUUUGCACAAGUUUUGAUAUCAUCUCCAGUGUCAACAACACCUUGCGUCCCUGGUUGAGUUGACUCCUGUUGAAGGUACCAGAAAUCUUUGCACUAAAGACGUCAUUGGCAACAGAUAUGAAACUGCAUUUUCUAAUGGUUAAGAUUUUGUCAAUGUGGUCAAUAACCCUCUUCUUUUCAUCCUUCUCAAAUGGAAGCAUAGCCUUGAAAACUUGACGAUAUGGGCCAUCAUCACAUCCUGGCAAUGUUGUUCUAAGCAUAGCAAUAAUGGCUUUAACUACCUUUUUCCUGUAGAAGGCUACACCAUGAACAUUAAAUGGUAUUUUUCUGUCACGAAAUGCUACUUGGAAGGCUUUUCCUGACACCUGCCUCCGAUAAAGAAUGGCAAUGCUUCCAUAAGCCAGUUUAGCAGGUGAUCCAAUGGACGCCAUUUCCAAGGUCUUAUCAACAACAAAUGAACACUGUGCAUGCUCAUUCUGACAUUCCUUGAUGGUUAUCUUAGAUCCGGAAGAAUUAUCAGUAACAACAUCCUUGAAUCGGCAUCGCUUAAUAUUAUUUUGAAUAAGAAAAGAUGCAGCCUCAACAAUAUAGCGCGUGGAUCGAUAAUUUUUAUUGAGCCUAAUCUAAAUUAUAAAUUUGUAAAGAAGUUUCAAUAACAUAAACAACAUGAUGGUAUAAACACCAAACAAAAACGGUGAAAUUAUGGAUGUACACCCUCAUUAUAUAAUCAAGAAAACAACCAUAACAAUUAUAAACUGUAACAACCAAGGAACAGGGUGGACCUCUUUAUAAUUUGGAAAAUCUAGACGAAAUGAAUCAAACCCUGAAAUGUCAGCUCCAUUGAAACUGAAAAUGGACUGAUCAUCAUCACCAACAAUAGUUAUUUUAUUAUGGGAUGCAAGAAGUCGUAGAAGAUUGUAUUGCAUGGCACUUGUGUCCUGAAACUCAUCUAUCACAAUGGCUUUCCAUGAAUUCUGGCACUCCUUAAAUACUGAAGUGGAUAUUAAAAAAAUUGUUAACAAUUUCAUAAUAGGAGAGGUGGCAUAAAUUGAUUAAGUAUUGCCAUCAGGAUAAUAUUGACCAUCAGGAUACUCAGUAAGCAACUUCACAGAACAGCUGAUUAAGUCGUGGUAGUCCAGUGCAUUACAAGAUCGCAAAAUGUCAUUAUAGUUCCCAAGUAUUGAAGCUCCUAUCUCAUCACCCAUUUUAUGGCAAUCUGCAGGCGUCUUUCCUGAAGCUUUAGCCUGAGUCACAAACUUCUGCCAUUUCUUUGACUUAUCCUUGAAAUAUUCUGGAGAUGUUAUUACAUUAGAAACUUCAGCAACCUUGCAGGCAUCAUGAUUUAGUAUUCCAGUCUUUUCCUUUUCUAAUAGACGGACAGCCUCAAUGAUUGCUCUUCUCUGGUGCCCCUGCCCAUAUAUUAAAAAUUCUGAUGUGCGUCCUAACUUCUCUGCAUGUGAACGACAAAGUUGCAAAGAAAAUGAAUGGAAGGUGCUGAUCAUAAGAUCUUUAGCUAUUGCCUUUCCUGCCACCGCUCCAAUCCGAUCUCUCAUCUCAGAAGCUGCAGCAGUGGUAAAAGUCAUUGCUAGAAUGUUUGUUGGACUAAUCCCCUCAAUAAGCAGCAUCAGAACACGCCCAACCAUUGUGGAAGUCUUUCCACUUCCUGGACCAGCAACAAUCAUCAAUGGAACGUAAAUAUCACUGCAAGCUGCUUCGCGUUGCCUAUUGCUCAAAGACAGCAAGUACUUUGAGUAUUCUUCAGGCAUACUUCCAUGCUGAAUUAUCUGGGAAGCAUCCCUAUCCUCCUUUCUAGAUUCUAAAUCAUCACUGGAUUCAAAAGCAACUUGUGUUCUUAUAUCAUCUUUUGCAGAAACUGACGCUGAACUAGCAAAAUCACCACCACUAUUUUCCUCAUUGUAUUUAUUUUUCACAGGAAGGCUGCUAUUGUAGCUCUCGAUUUCUGCUCUUGCAGCAGAAUUCUGCUUGCAUAUAGCAUCAAUCUCGUUCAAAAUGGAUUCAUCAAAAUCAUCAUCUAGAAUGCUAGGCUUCGAUAAAUAAUCACUUAAACCUGAGCAUUCUGGACGUUUUAUUGGAGUUGUAAAACAAUCCAAGGAAUAUUUGUCCCCUAGAGAAACACUAAUUGUCCUUGAACUGGAAAUGUCAUUAAUUAAUCCAGUCCUAGGAACAAAUCUUUCCAUACUGGAACAUAAAUCACUCCUAAAUUGACUACCGGAUGAUUCAAUUCCAUUUGCACGAAUCGGAGAUGGUGUGUUCAUAGGAAUCUCUACUAGAGGAACUCUUUUGAUGCUUGUAACCUGAGCUGGUGAUACGGUACCCUUUGCAUCCUUGAGAGGAAAUAAAGGGGAAGAAGAGGGGGUAUCACGAGGACGUUUGCGAGAAAGAAGGGCCUUGGCAGCUCUGAAGUUUUGUGAAAUGCGAGCCCUCUGCUCCUCCGUGAUGACUUUGCUGGGCGCGUAACCAUUCAUCUUCCACCGAGCGGCUGUGGGAUUGAAGACCAGAGCUGAGUUAAGCUAUGCAUAAGGGGCAAAGGUAAACCCCGUAGGCUCACAACGAAAAAAGGUGAAGUCAGAGUGGAGAAUUUUUGUUUCGGUUUCC